rnacentral:ribozyme from 1 species
UAUAGGUGCGAUUUAGUUCCAGCAUGGAAUCCGAAGACUUCUGAAGAUUCCAUCUAACUCCUAUUACGACUCGUCCACGUCGUGCAAUUUGGUAACAUGGACCCAAGUUAAACCAAUCUGGUGGAUGAAAGCUCAUGGCUAAGGAGGAGGGA